UACGUAGGUGACAAGCGUUGUCCGGAUUUACUGGGCGUAAAGAGCGCGCAGGCGGUCGUUUAAGUCGAAUGUGAAAGCCCCCGGCUCAACUGGGGAGGGUCAUUCGAUACUGAUCGACUUGAAGGCAGGAGAGGGAAGUGGAAUUCCGGGUGUAGUGGUGAAAUGCGUAGAUAUCCGGAGGAACACCAGUGGCGAAGGCGACUUCCUGGCCUGUUCUUGACGCUGAGGCGCGAAAGCUGGGGGAGCAAACGGG
rnacentral:rRNA from 1 species